UUGCCGAUGCUACGCCAAUGUGUGUCCACUUUAUAUAACAACAGGCUUCGAUUUUCUGAGUCAUUCAGUUGCCGGUCGUCCAAGCUCGCGGAAAACAACGUUUGAUGUUUAUUUCAUGAAUUUUCGACUUGGCCGCGCGUUUAUUUUUUAUCGUACUUUCUAUCGGUUGGGUUUAGUGAACUUGAACCUUGGCCGAGCGCAACUUUGCCAACUCCUUGUUUUAGAGUGAAUUUUUGCGUUUUCCAGCCGGCGAAAAUGAACGGCAUGCUCCGAAUUAUUUCGAACUUUAAGGAGUUCUACAACGACAUCAACGGUGCCACUUUGACCGGUGCCAUAGAUGUGAUUGUGGUGGAACAACCCGAUGGAAGCUACAAUUGUUCGCCUUUUCAUGUCCGUUUUGGAAAAUUGGGCGUGCUGAGAAGCAAAGAAAAAGUGGUGGAUGUGGAAGUCAAUGGCGAACCAUUAGGUGUUUACAUGAAACUGGGAGAGAGUGGAGAAGCGUUUUUCGUUGAAGAAUUGGAGGAUGACGAGGACAACGACAUCCCGGAGCACUUGGCCACUUCGCCCAUUCCGGUUUCAGAAAUUGAGAACAUUUUCAAAGCACAGGGUCGCAGACGGAGCUUCAAUCUCGACGAAAUCGACUUGAAUCUCAACCCAUCAAAUUCGUAUGAGAAAAGGCGGCACACGGCAGACAAUCAACUGGCCAAUAGUAGGGCUCAUUUGGAAAGGGAUUUCCUCAAAAGACAGAUCGUCUUAGGCAACAUUGAUGGGGCAUCUGCGGAAGAUGUGACCUACUCUCUAACCACUGUGUCCAGACGAAGCGACGAAGACGAUCUAAGUCCCAGUCAGAACGACGUUUCGGAAACCAUCUUCAAAAUGGACAGUCUUGAUGAGCCGGUGAGCAAAGACGAGAAACCAUCCGAAGUACCAGUGGCAGUGGUGCAAGCAAAGGACACCAGCCCCAAAGAGGCUCCAGUAGAGAGCAAAAGCAGCAAAAAGAAGCGCAAAAAAAUGCGCAAGAAGAACGCGCCUCGAAAGACAUCAAGCAACAACAACGUAUUGCCGAGUCCUAGCACCGAGAAUCUCGAGCGUACAAGCGAAUCAACCACUGACCGAAGUUCUUUGGACAGCAACUGUUCGGAGGCGGAGCUUAAAGAUUUGCAGCCGAAAAAUGACAAACCUAUGAAAGAGCCCAGCGAAGCUCCAACCCAAACGGAUACGUCCAACAUUAAAAAAGUGGACGCAGACUUUCACUUCUUCAGCGACACGGAACUGACCACGGGCAACUCAGAGUCACGAUCUGCUUCGCCAGUCAAUAUAGAGUCUGUGCAAUCUGAUUCGGAAAUUGAAAUGAAACUCCGAGUGAAAGAAGUUUCAGAGGAAGGAAAAGAGCCGGCCAAAAGUUGGGAAUGGGGCGGUUUUCCCAGCGUCUCUCAGGCCGAUUCUCCCGCCAACGACGAAACCACCAAAGAAGAUCAAAAGUCGAUGCUGAGCAGCAUGUUUUCGUUUAUGAAGUCGAAACACAGCGCUUCGAAUCGUUAUACUGAAGACGGCAUUUAUCUGUCCGAUAUUGCCAGCGGCAUGGUUGACCAGGAGGUGGCCGAUAUCUAUUUCAGGCAAAAGAAGGAUCAGGCUGCAGAAGAUAUCGACAUGGAUUGUGAAUCAGGCAAUGGACCGUCGUUGACUCAGAGUCCUAACAGUCCCGAAGGCUGCAAGAGCAUAGAUUCGGAUUUCGACGAGCAAACCAAAUUAGUUCAAACUCAUUCGCAAGACAUAACGCUAUCGCUGUGCGGAUGGGAGUCAAACCUGUCCUCAGAACGUUUCAACGAGCACAUGAUUUCGUACACCGAUUUCUGCAACAAUUGCGCCAUACUGGACGACCCGAAACUGGUGGCAAAGAUCAGCGGAAAGUACUACAGUUGGAAAGUGGCCGCAUCUAUGCUAGUUAGUAUUAUGUGCUUUGGAAGACCGCUUAUUCCGGCAUGCGUCGAUCAGCUUUGCAAUAAUUAUAUGGCCGCACCGGAUGCAAAGGAGAAGUCGAUACGGGAGGAGAAGAACCAGCCCAAUAAAUCCUCCUGGUGGCAUUGGCGAAGAUCGUCGCGUGAAACAACUCCGGCCAAAGAUGUGGGGAGCAGUUCCAAGACGGUGGAAGCUGAAAAAACCGGCCCAGACUUGGUGUUGGAACCUGCUCAAAAUGUUAAGGAUUUGGGGGAGAUUCAAGAAGACUUCGAACAACCCCUAGAAGGUGCACAAGCUGCUUCGAAAGAAGAAGAGAUGCAAAUUAAGAUCAGGACGGAGUCUCCAAAGUGCUCGGACAAGUUCAGGAAAACUCUUCGUCUAAGUUCAAAGCAAAUAGCAUCAUUGAAUCUUCGUGAUGGCAUGAACGAGGUGGAAUUCAGCGUAACUACCGCAUAUCAGGGUACCACCCGAUGCCAAUGCCAUUUAUACAAAUGGAAGUGGGAUGAUAAAAUCGUUAUUUCGGAUAUCGAUGGAACAAUAACAAAAUCGGACGUCUUGGGCCAUCUUCUCCCUAUAGUAGGCAAAGAUUGGGCGCAGUCUGGAGUGGCGCAGCUCUUCAACAAAAUUAAAGACAACGGCUACAAGUUACUGUAUUUGAGUGCCAGAGCAAUUGGCCAAGCGAGGACUACGCGAGAAUACUUGAGGUCUAUCAAGCAGGGCGAUAUGAGCAUGCCGGAUGGACCAAUCCUGCUCAAUCCCACGUCCUUAAUCACCGCUUUCCAUAGGGAAGUGAUCGAGAAAAAACCCGAGGCGUUUAAAAUUUCCUGCAUGUCAGACAUUAAAGCGCUAUUUCCUUCGGACUUGGAACCAUUCUAUGCCGGAUAUGGAAACAGAAUUAAUGAUGUGUGGGCCUACCGGGCCGUUGGCAUUCCAAUUCACCGGAUUUUCACCAUCAACUCAAAGGGCGAGCUGAAGCACGAACUCACCCGAACCUUCCAGUCCAGUUACUCGGGCCAGUCACUCGUGGUCAAUGAAGUAUUUCCACCAGUUUUAAAUAUUUUAGCAAUUGAAAAGGAUACUGAUAUUUCUUCCGAUUCAAGUUCAUCUAGUGAAAUUUGAAAUUCGCGUUAUUAAAAUGUGUGUUUAAUCUUUGACAAACAAUCAUUUUGCUUUGUUUCGCUGAACUGCCCUCAUUCAUCACUUGAAGGAGUCAAAGAAUAAACAAACAUGGAAUUUUUCGAAAAAUUCUAUAAUUGACCACGAGUUCAACAUGCCAACAUGCAACUCAGUACUAGUGAACUGGUUGGGUGUAUAAUAUGCUACACCAACAUGAGUAUCAUCGUGGACCAGAUGUUCCCGUCUCGUGUAGAAGCUGCCAAUGACUACUCUCAGUUCAACUAUUGGAGGGAACCGGUGCCAGAUCUGGAGCUCCUGCUCUAGAUGCAGUAAAAGGUACUGAUUUUCUGCACGUGCUUAAACGCUUAGACAAAGCGACAAAAAAUUUGUCAAAAAUCUACCCGAGCAUUUAGAAUUCGAUGU
rnacentral:misc_RNA from 1 species